GCCAAUGUGACAUAGUGGUUUGAGCACCAGACUGUGAUUCUGGAGACCAGGGUUCGAAUCUCUGCUCAGCCA
rnacentral:tRNA from 1 species